UUGAACGCUGGCGGCAGGCCUAACACAUGCAAGUCGAGCGGUAGCACAGAGAGCUUGCUCUCGGGUGACGAGCGGCGGACGGGUGAGUAAUGUCUGGGAGACUGCCUGAUGGAGGGGGAUAACUACUGGAAACGGUAGCUAAUACCGCAUAAUGUCGCAAGACCAAAGUGGGGGACCUUCGGGCCUCAUGCCAUCAGAUGUGCCCAGAUGGGAUUAGCUAGUAGGUGGGGUAACGGCUCACCUAGGCGACGAUCCCUAGCUGGUCUGAGAGGAUGACCAGCCACACUGGAACUGAGACACGGUCCAGACUCCUACGGGAGGCAGCAGUGGGGAAUAUUGCACAAUGGGCGCAAGCCUGAUGCAGCCAUGCCGCGUGUGUGAAGAAGGCCUUCGGGUUGUAAAGCACUUUCAGCGGGGAGGAAGGCGAUAAGGUUAAUAACCUUGUCGAUUGACGUUACCCGCAGAAGAAGCACCGGCUAACUCCGUGCCAGCAGCCGCGGUAAUACGGAGGGUGCAAGCGUUAAUCGGAAUUACUGGGCGUAAAGCGCACGCAGGCGGUCUGUCAAGUCGGAUGUGAAAUCCCCGGGCUCAACCUGGGAACUGCAUUCGAAACUGGCAGGCUAGAGUCUUGUAGAGGGGGGUAGAAUUCCAGGUGUAGCGGUGAAAUGCGUAGAGAUCUGGAGGAAUACCGGUGGCGAAGGCGGCCCCCUGGACAAAGACUGACGCUCAGGUGCGAAAGCGUGGGGAGCAAACAGGAUUAGAUACCCUGGUAGUCCACGCCGUAAACGAUGUCGAUUUGGAGGUUGUGCCCUUGAGGCGUGGCUUCCGGAGCUAACGCGUUAAAUCGACCGCCUGGGGAGUACGGCCGCAAGGUUAAAACUCAAAUGAAUUGACGGGGGCCCGCACAAGCGGUGGAGCAUGUGGUUUAAUUCGAUGCAACGCGAAGAACCUUACCUGGUCUUGACAUCCACAGAACUUUCCAGAGAUGGAUUGGUGCCUUCGGGAACUGUGAGACAGGUGCUGCAUGGCUGUCGUCAGCUCGUGUUGUGAAAUGUUGGGUUAAGUCCCGCAACGAGCGCAACCCUUAUCCUUUGUUGCCAGCGGUUAGGCCGGGAACUCAAAGGAGACUGCCAGUGAUAAACUGGAGGAAGGUGGGGAUGACGUCAAGUCAUCAUGGCCCUUACGACCAGGGCUACACACGUGCUACAAUGGCAUAUACAAAGAGAAGCGACCUCGCGAGAGCAAGCGGACCUCAUAAAGUAUGUCGUAGUCCGGAUUGGAGUCUGCAACUCGACUCCAUGAAGUCGGAAUCGCUAGUAAUCGUAGAUCAGAAUGCUACGGUGAAUACGUUCCCGGGCCUUGUACACACCGCCCGUCACACCAUGGGAGUGGGUUGCAAAAGAAGUAGGUAGCUUAACCUUCGGGAGGGCGCUUACCACUUUGUGAUUCAUGACUGGGGUG
rnacentral:rRNA from 1 species